rnacentral:lncRNA from 1 species
GUUCAAAAAAUUUAAUUAAAAUCCGAUUACAACUUAUGGAUAGUGCACACACAACUAAUGGCUUUCGUAUGAAAGGCCAAAUCUUAUGCAAUCAUUGAUCGAUAAGGCCCAUACAUAUAUGCAUUCACAUGUCGACAAAGCCCAGCAAUCUCUGUCAUUGGUGUAGUUUUCCCGCUUUUUUCUUCAAGCCUCCAUUGAUAUCAUAUCACUAUGGUUCCCUUUAAAAACAGAACCAUUUAAAUUGUAUCUAGAAGAUUUCCGCAAAAAAUAACAAAAAAUUCCUAAUUUUUAGCAACAUCAUAACUUCAUUUCUAAAUAACACCUCUCCAAUUAUAAUCUACCAUCGCAAUUCCAGUAACAAUAUCUCUUUCCAAAAUCUCAAUAUCUAAAUCUUACCCGUAACAAUAUUCCUGCUAAUAUAGAUAGAUA